GUAGCAGUGGAUUCACUUGUGUUCUUGCAACUUGUUCAGAGACCAGCCUGCUUCAAACUUACUGUUUGCACAGAGGAUGGAUACAUCUAACAAAUUGCAGGCCUUGUUACUUCGGGGGCAAGCUAGUGUGAAGAGUGAAUGGAUGGAAGGAGUAAAGACAAAGCACAUGAUCAGGUGGCAAAGAAGAGAUUCAGAUUCUGCUAAUGGAAAAUUUUGGAACAGAAGUGAAUGGGAAAUAUUGCCACAGUUUGCUCAAAAAUGAGACAGAACACUUUCAUUAUUCCUCAGGGACUUCUAUUCAGAACAUGCAAAAGCUGAGAUUGAGAAGGUGAAAGCAACAAUACAACUGGAGUCCUCUUUCCACAUUCUGGCAAUCUUUACGUCAUGGAUGAACUUAUUUUACAGAUUGUGGACAUACAAAAGAUCCACAACUUGCUCCAUGAAGAGUUAGCCAUAAAUGUGAAAGGUGAAUAGGCCACAUAUUCACCAUCAUUGUAGUGGUUUUCCACCAUUUGCAUUGCUUAUCUUUCUCCAAGAUUAAUGCCACCUGCAUUGAGCAAUGAUGAUAGUACGUCUAGCUACAAACAGCUCUCUGUAUAUACAGCUGAUCGAUGUUUUUCCUGGUGUAUGACAAACCGAGCUCUCUCAUUGAGAAAGGAGGAGGAGAAGAAGGAGAAGAAGAGGAGGAGGAAGAAAAAAACAUUAAUUUUUCACCUAGUUCUCCCUUUAGUGCUUCUAGGGGUAGAAGAUCUCAGCUUCCUUCACCUCCUCCUCCCUCGUGAGAUGCAGCCCACAAGCACCUUCUUGGUCCUCUCAGAUGGGUGUCACACAUUAUCAACGCAAGCCUCUCUAGAAUGGUGCAAAGCAACGAUACUUUUCAUGUGCUAGUAAGGAGGUGAUUGCUCACUAAUCAGCGACUUCUGUCAGUCUGGAUCACACUUCAGUUCAACAAGAUACGGAUACUCUAUUGAUCAAAUUACAGUUCUUCAGCUUUACUGCAAUAAUGUACCUGUAACUGCUUCAGUGUUUUCAGUCUGUCGCCCAAGGCAGUAAAGUAAAGUAAAGCCUUGCCACAAGAAUACAUGAAACCUUGGGAAGGACCAAGGGCUGCUAGCAGUUCACAAUCAUCUGGUCAUAAAACAGGUAUUUCUCUAAACCUAAGAUUAGUGAGGUUUUGAGCCCAUUUUCUGUCUAGAUCUCUGCUGUAAAUGGCUGCUGAAUUUGUUCACGAACUAUAUAUACAAUAUUUCUAGCGCUGCUCAUAAUGAGCAGGCUACAGAAAUGACCUUUCAAAAGCUCUCUGACUCCUUCAAAACAUAAGCAAAUUGAAAAUCUGUAUUUGCAAGAUCGGAAAUAAAAUGAAAACCUCACUUUGGCUGUCUAAAAAUGAAGCCAUAUAAAGGAAAGACCUUGCUGAAUAGCAUACUUUAAAAAUAAAUACAAUUUCCUUUGCUACCAUAUAUGUUGUUUCAGAUUCUGAAGUUAAAUAACAUUUAACUGAAGCUAUAACAUUUUGUUAAACUUAGAAACUUUAGAGGAACAGCUAUUCAGUUUCUUAUAGACUUCAACUAUUUACAGUUCUCUCUUUUUUUUUUUUUUUUUUUUUUUUUUUUUCUGGAGAAGAGAAACACACUCUGGGAUUUUUUAAAGCCUUUUUUGGUUCAUUAUUGAGAUCUGACUUUCUGCAUCCAUGAGAUUAACCACAGAUUAACUGUUUCUGUGGUCUCAAUGGAAACCUGAACCUUGAACCAGGGUUUGGAAUUUAACCUAGAGGGCCAGGUUCUUGGCUGCCAUUGUGGAGGCUUUGGCCUGCUCACGAAUAAUUUGGAGAAUUUAUGGAGUACUUAAAUGGCAGCUACAAGCUCCAGUUCUACCUCAGCUCAAGAGUGAGCUGCAUUUGAGAGAGGAUUGUUGCAACAAGAAGAAAGCCUACCCACGGAGUGUUUCCAAGCUAUUCAUCAUUUCCCUAGGUAUCUGUCCCUAUGGAAAAUCUCCAAGUCCUAUGACACUGAUCUUGUAAACAAUUAUUUUCUUUCCUGAAUUCCUAUAAUAAAUUUCAUGCUUGAUAUUUCUGUUAGGACUCCUUGGCCUCCUCCUUUUUUUUUUUUUUCUUUUUUUCCCAGAUUGGGAAGGUGGGAAAAAAUAUAAAUGGAAUUUUUGUUUGAAUCUCACUUGGGACCAUGCAUUCUUGUAAUGUCAUUGCUAAACAAAACAGUGGCAAGAAAAGAAAGUGAAUGGACUUUAAUAAUUUCUACUGAAUGUUUUUUGAUAACUUAAAUGUAUGGCACAGUCAUAAGAAAUACUUUGACCAAAUGCUUGUUGUCAGAAUGCACUAUUACAAAAAAAUGAGAUAGGACAGGGGAAUAUGUUUAAUUUUUGCAUGUCUACAAAUACAGAGAUAAGCAACCUGCCAGACAUGCCCCUGUAAUGUAAAUACUUACAAUCGUCAGACAACUCAGGGGUUUAAGUACUGCUGAUUGUGUUAUUUAUGCAGAUUUAUACAAAAUUAUGCACAACUCGUGUUAUAAUUUUGUUAGAGGAGACUAGGAAAUAGUCUACUGUUCUGUAUGCUUUUUUUAUGCACAUUCCCUUCACUGAUGUGAGAGUAGUUUCAUUCUUGCUCCAAUGUAAAUUGCUGGUCUGAAUUGAAACAUCCUCUGGUCUUUUUGCUCUCACAUUGCUGCACAUAACGGUCCCAUGGAGAG